CCGAGUUAGGGGUACAAGUCCUGCAGAAUUGCGUUCCUCUGGACCUAAGCAUAGUGCCGAAAGGCCCGCGACGACACUCGGCGUUAGAGGGGAGAGUGCCAGACGUGGUGUCUCCUCUGACG
rnacentral:ncRNA from 1 species